GAAUGGUGUGGCCUUAUUAAUAUCAGCUGGGGAGAGUGCCCUGUUUUAACGAUUUCCAAUAAACCAAGGCAAGCCCGCAGAACUUCACGAGCAUUUGGGCACCGACAGUUAAAGAGACUGUACAGUGAACCUCUUCCAGUCAUAUCUGCAUCUCUAAUGGGGAGACAGCUCACCUGUUCUGAGGACAAUCAAGAGGGUCUGCCUGAUCCAGCUUCAGAACAGCAUUCUGCACAUGGUGUGCCAUUUGAAACAAGAGACCUGACAUGAUCAGUUGGGAGUCAGCCAGAGGCCCAUUGCCCUAGAAGAGUCAUGGCUACAGAGGAGGAGAUUAUAACUCACGAUCUUG